rnacentral:rRNA from 1 species
GACAGAGGAGCCAAGCGUUGUCCGGACUGACUGGGCGUAAAGCGCACGCAGGCGGCGCUGCGCGUGGGGUGUGAAAGCUCUUGGCUUAACUGAGAGAGGCCAUCCCAUACGGCAGUGCUCGAGCGGUGCAGAGGUCCGCGGAAUUGCCGGUGUAGUGGUGAAAUGCGUAGAGAUCGGCAGGAACCAGACCCAGGGGAACCGAGCGGACUGGGCAUCAGCUGACGCUCAGGUGCGACAGCGUGGGGAGCGAACCGG